GUUACCCGUGAGGGCCAUGGUAGACUCUGUGUCUACCAUGGCCCUCACGGGUAACGGGGGACAGACUGGAACUGUUGAUACCAGUUUAAGUAAAAACACUGAUGAAUCAAAGCUUGAAUUAGAUGAUCAAACAUUAAAAAGCACUGAACUCCCCAAGGAAGAUACACAAGGAGGACCUGGAGCGGCUGAAGGGUGAAGAAGCAAUGAAGGGAUCAUUCGGGGAAUGGGGGGCUGAUGAGCGAC
rnacentral:rRNA from 1 species